rnacentral:lncRNA from 1 species
UUCUAUGAUUGCUCGUUUUACUUAUUCCGGAAGAAACCUCUUAGAAUAAACUCAUAUAGGGGGAUUCGAAUACGGAAAAUGACUAGUUGCUUAAGCGUUCACGUUAGGGUCACACAAUCAAUUACCUCUUGAAUGUAUUGUCACUAUUUCCAAUAUCUGAACACACAAGAAAACUAUAAUCUCCUCUUUCACCUUAUCGAUCUCUUCCUUACAACAAUUCAGUCAUACCAAUAACUGCUAUUUCCACCAAUAUAUUCACCCUCAUAAUCUCAAACUGUAAUACUACGCCCUCACAGCUUUCAAUACAUAAUUAUCCUCCUUUCAAUCACUGGAAUUUUUCACACAAAAUUGCCAUUCAUAUUAUGGUGUUUCACACAAACAUAGACUCAUUCUCUCUAUUGAACUACAAUCAAAUUUUAGCAUUCAAUCUUUCUUCUUCUCAAAUAAUACCAAUCAUAUUUCCAUUCUAUAAUUUACUUCACAAUAUUCAGAAACUCUCAAUCCUCUUAUUCAAAGAAAAUAACAAACAAAAGAAAAGAGGUAGCACCAAGCUUACCCCGGCUCACAACUAUCACAGUGAUGGCCCUCAGCUCAUGACUAUCAUAGUCCGGCACUUUAAUUAACUUCUACAACUUCUAUAUACUUUUUUCUGAUUCUCCAGAUUCUAACCAUAAUUCUGUAAUUAAGCGCCUUUAAAAACUAAAUCACUCAUCCAUCCUCCUGAAUUUCCUAUUAUAUGGACUAUUAAUAUAUUUUAUCAAUAUCUUUCAAAAACUAAUUAAUAUCUAUUUUACAUAGUCUUACUUCUAUCUGUGCAGCGUCCUCGCAAACACUCAAUUGACGCCUAUCUAAAAAUUAUCUAACAAAUCUCCACAAAAAUUGCAAUCUCUCAGGCCUAUCUAAUCAAUCAAUUACCACAGUAUCUGUUAUUAGUUCCAUCGAUUCCGGUUCCAACUGCAAAUCUUCUUCUUCUUCUUCCAGUCCAUCUAUCAGCUCUUGCCUCAAUUGGUUUGAUAGAUCUUCAUUAUACUCUCCCAAUUCACGGACUUGAGCUUUCAGUUUCAAGUUUUGGAAAUUCCAAAGUUUCAAUUAUUGUUGCUGCUGAUUCAUCUAUUCUGGAACAUCUUCAAUCGACACUUGUGACUGGCUCCUCACUAUUAACUCUUAACUAGAACUACAAUUCUCAAAAACAUAAGAAAUAUAAGAAAAUGGCACUCCAGCCAACCCAAAACAACACCACAAAAUGACUUUAACUGGUGCCUCACUCCUAUUCUUUUACUACUUGGUCAUAAUGACAACACGUUACCUAUACUGUCCGUGAAAGGUAAUGAAAAGUAAUCUUUCUUGGUGGCCAUAUUUAACUUUCAAAAAUAUUGACAUAUCCUGAUUUUUCCAUUUUUCUUUGGCACCAUCACGAUUGGCGACAUCCAUGUACUAUGCGGAAUAGGAUAAAUAAAACCCACGUCGAGAAGUUUAUCCAAUUCUUCUUUCACUAAAAGGAAAUAUUUUGAGUUAAGCUGGUGUUGUCUUUGACGAACUAGCGUAACAUCUUCCUCCAAAAUAAUCUGGUGCUCACACACGUCAACUGAAAUUCCUUUCAAAUCCGCAUACGACCAUAUAAAAGCAGAUUUGUGAUGGACGAAAAACUAUUUUUAAGCAUCCAAUUCUAUAUCGAUAAUACCGACAUAUAUUUUAAUUAGCUGUGGCAUUUCGUUGGUGCCCAAGUUAAUAGAUUGACACACAAGGUCUUCAACAACCUUUGAUUUAAUUGUCUUCCCCUGAUUUGAAUAUCUUGUAUUAUUUGACAUAUGAAAACCACCCAAAUCUGGUUCCAAUGUGCUGACUCUAUUGACUGCGGAAUUGUUCAUCCAUUCGGCAAUAGCAUGAUCCGAGUUAGUCGCAUCCUCCUGAUGCAGUAAAUAUUCGCUGGGACUUCCACAUUGGUAGACUCCUGCCUUUGCUGUUGAAGUAUUUUGUCCUACCCCAAAUUAUGGUGAACUUAUAGUAUCGUCAUCUACCUCAAUCGAUUGACUCUCGUUCUCUGAAGUAAAUUCUGAUUUUGGCAAUUGAUAUUCUCCAAGAUAUUGUAUCAGAUAUAUCUGUAAAAUAUUUUGAUCACGACCUUUUCCAAUUGUCAAUGUGCCUCGGCCCCAAUCGUUCUUAGCUUUGGCUUGAUAAAACCAAGGUCUGCCCAAUAAAAUGGGAUACGAUAAUAUAGAACUCUGUAAUCGAAAUACAAUAUAAUCGAUUUUGUAUGUCAAUCCCACGAUUACAAUGGCAAUAUUUUGUAAGAUUUCCAUUGGCUUUAGCCGACUAUGAUCUGUCAUUUCCAAGACCAAUGUCAUAGGUAGCAAUUGCUUUAGAUCCAAAUCCUCCAUUGUAUCCGCGUUCAUUAAAUUGACACUGGAGCCACCAUCGACUUGUAUUCCUGAAAUUAAAACACCAUCGAUUGAUACAUCCAUUGUUGGUGCUCUCGGAUCUAGAUUUAAGCUAACUUCAUGAAUUUCUUAAGUGUGGGAUCUUUGUCGUAUUAGCGCUGAAUUCAAUGUAGAUCAACAUUUCGGUGCUAUAGUCAAAAGUUGCUUCAUUAUAAUUGAAGGCUGAAUAACAUCAAAAUCUUUCAGAAUAUCGUAGGAUUCCAUAUUUAAGAUAAUUUCCAAUGCUUUCUUUCUUUUCAUUGGUUUGAGUUUAACUCCGUCAGAUAAGAUAUUCUUUCACCUUAGACUUGGAAUUGGAACAGCGGCUAGGGCUUCCUUGGAAUUCCCAUCCCCAAGAGGAUCUGUCAACGGAUAGGAUAUUUCUCGGAACUGCAUAGAGAUCAGAACUGCUUGGAACGGAACCGAAGCCUCUAUAAUUGGGACCUCAUUGGGUUGUGCCACUGAGUCAGGUCUCAUAUUGGGUAUGAAGCCCGUAAUAGGACGUGGAUUGGAUGGUCUCAACAAAUUGGUACGUGGAACCAAAUUAGGUUCCUCAGUUUGUUGAGGUCUCAAUAUUGGAAUAUGUUCCAAUAUUGAUAUUGGUUCAUUUAGCCCCAUAGACAGUGCUACUUGCUCUCUUGCGAUUGGUUCAUCCAAGUCUUGAAUUAGAUUCUUAUCUUUUUAUUGGCCUCUGAUAAGCAUUGCGUUCACCACCUUGACACGAUGUACUGGUGAGUCUUGUUGAACAAGACCUUUGUCCUCCGUCAAUUGGCUUGUUUGCAUUUGCUUGUCUCGGUUAUUAUAAUUAAAGGGCACAUUGCACUGCUGAUAAGUGUGACUAGACUGCUUACAAUUUCUACAUAUUGGAGCAUAGUCAUCACUGGCCCUUGAAUUAGGACAUUCACUCGCAUAAUGUCUGAUUUGUCUGCAACAAUAGCAAUGAAGUGGUCUCCUGCCAACUCCUUCAAGGAUAUUGGGUGUCUCUACUAAUAUAUAAUGGCUAGGACUGUUCCAUGUCAGAUGAGUAAAAGAUCCUGAUUGACCUAUUGUUACUAUAGAGUCUAGCAUUGGCUUCGUCAUGGGUGGAUAUUGAUAGUAUCCUGGUUGAUUUAUCGCCAAUCCGUGAGUAUUGAAUAUACCUUCUUGGUGAAAUUUACAAUUUAGAAAAUUAGAAUAAUUCAUUUUUUGUUUAUUUGCUUGAUUUCCAUUCCAGCCAAACCUAUUAUUCAUUUGUAGUUGAUUGACAUUCCAUAAAUUUGGUUGAAUCAUGGUCUGAUUACUAAAUUAUUGUUGUUAUCUUUACUAAUUUUAACAAUUUGUUGUUAGGUGCUUUCUUCCACAAAAUGUACAUUGAUCCAUCAUUUAAGAGGGUGAGGAGCAUUCUGUUACAGAAUGACCAUGUCCCUUACAAUUACUAUACUAUACAUUGGUCCUAGUAUUGGUAGGCUUUUGCCUCUUCUCCUUAUCUUUGGCCAUAUUGACGGCCAUUUCCUCCAUUUUCUUCAUCAAAUUCAAUAACAAGGUUUCAUUGGAAUCUUUUAGAGCUGGCAUUAUUGAUAUCUCUAUCGUACUUAAUACUUCUUGUUGAUACGAAAAAUAUGGAGCAUACGCUGUUGUCACGUUCGAUGGUAUAGCUUGCAAUAGGGUGACAUUAAUUGGCCUUGAAUAUUGGCAUUGGAAUUGGCCCUGAAUAUUGGUAUUGGAAUUGGCCCCUAUUUCUAACAUUCGUGGAUAACUAUUCAUUGAUUCGUUCCAAGUCGGAUUUUAAUAUCUACCUUGAACUGGAAUCAUCAUGGCUCCUGCAGUUGAAAACUGAUCAUAUUGACAUUCCUCCCAAACCUUGGCUCUAUUAAGGCACAUAGCCACCGUAACGGUUUGAGCUUCCUUUACAAACAUUUUUAGCUCUAAAGGGUGCAAAUCAUUGAUUAAUAUGGAUAAAAUAAAUGCCUCCGGUAUUUGGUGAUUCGGCCACUUACUGAGUAUAUCAGCCACUCGACCAUUGUACGAUUCCACCACCUUUCCUAGGAUCAUUUUGUUAUUCAUUAACCUCUCUUGAAGGUGGUCUUCAAAACCAAUUGGCCAAAAAUGAGAUAAAAAUGCAUUCUUCAAUGCUUCCCAAUUCAAAAAUUGAUUCACAGGUUGGCGGUUAUAUCACUCAAAUGUUGUAUCUUUCAAUGCUGCUGGCAACCAUCUUAACCAAAUAUCUUCUAUUCUUCCAUUAUUGGCUACACAUGCCAUCAAGAAUUGAGACAAAUGUUAAUCUGGAUAUGCACUUGGCAAACCUCAAAAAGUAGGUAAUGGCACGAUGCUAGUUGUUCGAUCGUCCACUGCACCCAUUUGAACUGCAAUCGGAAGUACUGAUCCUCUGGACAUCAUUGAAUUUCUUGUUCUGCUAAAGUCCGUUUUAAAAUAAUCUCUGCUUUUCCUUAUUCUAAUUUUCGAGCUCUCAAUGCUCCUCGAUUUACUAUUAUUUUCCGUAAUUAGUUUUAUUGGUUGAAUUGCACGUGAAAACGUCUGAUUUUGAAAUACAAUAUAGUUAUCUUUAUUAGCGACCAAUUUGUGCCAAUCUGAAGAACCACUAUUGCUUGUUUUAGCGAUACCCUCUAUUGAAAAAAUACCCAAUGGAAUACCAAAUUCUUCUACAUCUCCUUCUCUUUCAGUUAACGGCCUCAAGAUUUCUACUGGAAUGUUAACAAAAUUUUCCGCGAGUAUUCCUGGCAGUUUUUUUAAUGGUACAUACGACUGCAGAAUUAGCAGUCUGUCCGGUUCUUCACAUGUUCGGAUGCGCUGACAAGCUUGCAACCAUGGUUUAAUCCAAUUUUAUCGAUGCUUCCUUUUAAAAUUAUGUUCUUGCUCCUCUCUAAGCAAGUUCCUUCUUUGCGCUCUUCCCUGUCUUUCUCUCAACUGAUUUAUUUUCCUCGAUGCAAUGCUCUCGUUCUUAUUAACCAUAAUCUUGCUUCAACCACUACUUAAAUCAUCUUCCAUUGCCAAUUUUCUCACACAUUUGGUAAUUAAUUCCUAACACUCAAAGCUAUUAUCACUUCCUGGCAGCGAUGCCAAAAUGUGAUUGCUCGUUUUACUUAUUCCGGAAGAAACCUCCUAGAAUAAACCCGUAUAGGGGGAUUCAAAUAUGGGAAAUGACUAGUUGCUUAAGCGUUCACGUUAGGGUCACACAAUCAAUUACCUCUUGAAUGUAUUGUCACUAUUUCCAAUAUCUGAACACACAAGAAAACUAUAAUCUCCUCUUUCACCUUAUCGAUCUCUUCCUUACAACAAUU